GUUAUCCUACGGGGGGCAGCAGUGAGGAAUAUUGGUCAAUGGGCGCAAGCCUGAACCAGCCAAGUCGCGUGAGGGAAGACGGCCCUACGGGUUGUAAACCUCUUUUGCCGGGGAGCAAGGGCGGGGACGUGUCCCGGCCCGGAGAGUACCCGGAGAAAAAGCAUCGGCUAACUCCGUGCCAGCAGCCGCGGUAAUACGGAGGAUGCAAGCGUUAUCCGGAUUUAUUGGGUUUAAAGGGUGCGUAGGCGGGCUUUUAAGUCAGCGGUAAAAAUUCGGGGCUCAACCCCGUCCGGCCGUUGAAACUG
rnacentral:rRNA from 1 species